UACGAAGGGGGCUAGCGUUGCUCGGAAUCACUGGGCGUAAAGCGCACGUAGGCGGAUUUGUAAGUCAGGGGUGAAAUCCCGGGGCUCAACCUCGGAACUGCCUUUGAUACUGCAAAUCUCGAGUCCGGAAGAGGUGAGUGGAAUUCCUAGUGUAGAGGUGAAAUUCGUAGAUAUUAGGAAGAACACCAGUGGCGAAGGCGGCUCACUGGUCCGGUACUGACGCUGAGGUGCGAAAGCGUGGGGAGCAAACGGGG
rnacentral:rRNA from 1 species